UACAGAGGUCUCGAGCGUUAGGCGGAAUCACUGGGCUUAAAGCGUGUGUAGGCGGAUGCCUAAGUACCUUGUGAAAUCCCACGGCUCAACCGUGGAACUGCUUGGUAUACUGGGUGUCUUGAGCCACUUAGGGGCUACCGGAACAAAUGGUGGAGCGGUGAAAUGCGUAGAUAUCAUUUGGAACGCCAAUGGUGAAAACAGGUAGCUGGGAGUGUGCUGACGCUGAGACACGAAAGCCAGGGGAGCGAACGGG
rnacentral:rRNA from 1 species